AUUGAAUGCUGGCGGCAGGCCUAACACAUGCAAGUCGAACGAGUGGCGGACGGGUGAGUAAUGUCUGGGAAACUGCCUGAUGGAGGGGGAUAACUACUGGAAACGGUAGCUAAUACCGCAUACCAUCGGAUGUGCCCAGAUGGGAUUAGCUAGUAGGUGGGGUAAAGGCUCACCUAGGCGACGAUCCCUAGCUGGUCUGAGAGGGUGACCAGCCAGAGUGGAACUGAGACACGUUCCCGACACCGAGGGGAGGGAGCAGUGGGGAAUAGUGCGUAAUGGGCGCAAGCCUGAGGCAGCCAGGCCGGGUGUAUGAAGAAGGCCUUCGGUUUGUAAAGUACUUGCAGCGGGGAGGCGUUAGCCGCAGAAGAGGCACCGGCUAACUCCGUGCCAGCAGCCGCGGUAAUGC
rnacentral:rRNA from 1 species